AUUGGAUAAGUAGGGACCUUAAACGGAAAGAAUAUAGCCGUCUGUCCCAACAACCACCAUUGGCUUUACCAAAGGACGAUGUUUAUGCAAGCUAUAUGAUUGGCGUUGGAAUUUGUAAUCUGAACUUUUUUGGAUGUAUAUGUAGGUGCCAUCCAUUACUAUAAUAGCUACUUUUUCGUUGUUGCCAAAAAGUGUUUGAGCAGUUGCAGUUGUAUGAUUCUCAACAAAAUCAUCAUGGCUUAUGUGCUGAAACCCUACAUUCUGAGUAACAAAUGACUGCAAAGAAGUUCGAGCGCUGUGUAUACUUCUUUGAACUUGGCAUUUUGUCAGUGAAAACAUAGUUCAAAGAAUUUGAUAGCAAGACCAGUGCGUAAUUUAGUCAAAAGUAUUGCCAAACAUGUUCGAACAGAUCUUACAUUAGAUUGACGUAUUGUAGUAGUGUAAGUUGACAAAUCCUCAAACUGCUGCU
rnacentral:lncRNA from 1 species